AGCGAACGCUGGCGGCAGGCCUAACACAUGCAAGUCGAACGGAUCCUUCGGGAUUAGUGGCGGACGGGUGAGUAACACGUGGGAACGUGCCCUUUGGUUCGGAACAACUCAGGGAAACUUGAGCUAAUACCGGAUGUGCCCUUCGGGGGAAAGAUUUAUCGCCAUUGGAGCUGCCCGCGUCUGAUUAGCUAGUUGGUGAGGUAAAGGCUCACCAAGGCGACGAUCAGUAGCUGGUCUGAGAGGAUGAUCAGCCACAUUGGGACUGAGACACGGCACAAACUCCUACGGGAGGCAGCAGUGGGGAAUCUUGCGCAAUGGGCGAAAGCCUGACGCAGCCAUGCCGCGUGAAUGAUAAAGGUCUUAGGAUUGUAAAAUUCUUUCACCGGGGACGAUAAUGACGGUACCCGGAGAAGAAGCCCCGGCUAACUUCGUGCCAGCAGCCGCAGUAACAC
rnacentral:rRNA from 1 species